rnacentral:rRNA from 1 species
AUUGAACGCUGGCGGCAGGCCUAACACAUGCAAGUCGAACGAGUGGCGGACGGGCGAGUAAUGUCUGGGAAACUGCCUGAUGGAGGGGGCUAACUAGUGGAAAAGGUAGCUAAUACCGCAUACCAUCGGAUGUGCCCAGAUGGGAUUAGCUAGUAGGUGAGGUAAAGGCUCACCUAGGCGACGAUCCCUAGCUGGUCGGAGAGGAUGACCAGCCACCCUGGAACUGAGACACGGUCCAGACUCCUACGGGAGGCAGCAGUGGGGAAUAUUGGUCAAUGGGCGCAAGCCUGAUGCAGCCAUGCCGCGUGUAUGAAGAAGGCCUUCGGGUUGUAAAGUACUUUCAGCGGGGAGGCGUUACCCACAGAAGAAGCACCGGCUAACUCCGUGCCAGCAGCCGCGGUAAUAC